GUUCCACUGGAUUCUCACUUCACAUUACAACAGUGCAGUACAAAACUGUGUGCGAAAUCGAAGUUGGGAACAAGGAGAAAGAAGACACAGCCGGCGCGUGCGAUACUCGCUAAGAGCGGUACCGCACGCGUCGUUGGAGAAGAGGGUGAGUUUUUAGCUGGUAGGCGUCCGGUUAGCGGACGAAUCCAGCACACCUGGGACACCUUCGAAGGUGUCUUUCGAGGAUUUUCCCACCCACACCAAAAAAAAGGUUAGGUUAGGUUAGGUAAACGAUGUGGAACAAACCGGUGUUCUUGUUUUAAAAAUAAAAUGUAAAUCAUAAUGUCACCAAGCCUCGACGGGUUGCACUAAAUGAUUGAUUGACAUGCAAAAAAUAAAUAAUAAAAACGAAUAAUCUAUUGUCCGGCAUUUAGCUAAUAACUCGGGAGAAUAGGCAUGCGUGGCAUGCCGUCAGUCAACUGCCUAUUAUCCUGGGAUAUUAGCUAAAAUCCCAACUUGUCUAUUGACCUACGACAUAUACAAAUGAUGAAUAUUUCAUGCAUAAAACGACUGUAUAUGACCAGCAUUAAUUUCCUACACAUUUAUUAUUAUAUUAUAGAUACACAAAUAAAUGCUUCAAAUAAUUAUGUAUAUUGUAUGUUGAAAAGAUGUAUAUACUUGAAAUAAUAUACUUUCUACUCACAUAACCAGUACAUACUAUGAAUAUUCAUAGGGUAUUAAGAAAUAAAACAAAUAUAUACUCAGAAAAACAUUCACUAUAGAUAUACAUGAAUGGAUCAAAAAUGUUUAUUUAGAUAUAACACAGGUACCAAUCUGAAAAAACGUACCUUUUACUCAAAUUUCCUGGAAUUUACCUGGAAUAUAUAUGAUAUACCGUAUAUUCUUUGCAUAUUGGGAAUGUUUUAUGUAUAUAUAUAGGAUUUUUUUUAAGCAGGAAUUCUAAUUUGUUUCACAACUUAUAGGUGACUAUUAUUUAACCGAUGAUGUUUUUUUUUGAGGAAUAGUUUCAGCAAAUACUAGAACUUGUUCCUGAUUGUUCCAAUAUAGUGAUACAAAUUGGAUACAUGCUGGAUUAUUUAAAAAAUAUGUCAUGAUGCAUUCAAACUUUAUUCAAUUGCGAAGAGUUAACAUCCAAAACUAACGACGAAAAACUGUUGUUUGAACGUAGUUUAAAGAAUGAAUAUCGCAUAAGUUAUUUAUAAUGUCAAUUAUUGUUUUCAUCCGAUUAUGUCGUAGAUUAAUCGUCUCAGCACCGUAUUUAGAUUGAUAUUACGUAAAUUAUUAUUUUAUAAUUCAUUUUUCCCAAUACUCAUUAUCGAUACUACUUUAUUUUUAACAUUGUGUUAGGCGCGUUUUUUUUCCUUUCGCUAAUGUAGCAUCGCUUCCAUGAAUAUCCUGACUUCUCUGGUUCAGACUUUGUUAUGGUAGCCUGCAGGACACUUUUAUUAGUACCCGCAGUAUUGUAUUUUUCUUCUCCUUUUGUACAAUCCAUCGAUUUUAUUUCCCUUGUAAACAAUGUGAACAUUGAUACCAGCUAAGUUUAACAAUAUAUAAAAUACUGUGCAUAGGCCAAUGGUUGGUAUUCCUAUAGACUUCGUAAGUAGCACAAAAUUUAUCGACGACAUCAACUCCCAAUUUCGUUUGGUUGUAGAAUGUUACGAUAUCUGGCUUUCUCUUUAUACCUGUUGCCGGGUCCUAUGUCCGAGUCGUGAUGCAUACUGGAAAGUAGAAUAACAUUCCUAUUCUUUUUUGGAAUGGAAACAAAUGUCAAAAUUUCUUGAAAAGCGAAUUUUGAUGUAUAUUCAUUUCGACCAAGUACUGCCACAAAGCUCGGUGGAAGCUGUCGUUUGUUUUUUUUUCUGAUGGUUCUGACAUAACUAAAUCUGUGAUUUUUUUGGAGGUCGGUUAUUAAACCGGUUAUCUCCGGUGACAUUCCUCCCAGAAUCAAAAAUUGGUGCACACAGUCUUUUCACUGUUGAACUAGCACUAUUAUCAAUUUGGUAAGGGCCAUCAG